CUCCUCCCCCGGAGGGGGGGAGUGACAGCAGCGGCUCCUGCCCCAUGUGACUGGGGAGCGGCUGCCCCGUCCAUGGCUUGGCCUCCCCCGGGCAGCAGCAGCUCCGGCUCCCGGGGAGGAGGGGCAGGAGCUGCUGCUCCAUGGGGAGGAAGGGCAGCCCCCGAUCCCCCCAGUCGGAGGGGGGAUCCCGGGCCUCCUCCCCCUCCUCCCCGCUUUGGGCCUUACCCGAGGAGCUGCUGCUCCUCAUCUGCUCCUACCUGGACGCGCAGGCCUUGGGCCGCCUGGGCCAAGUCUGCCGCCGCCUGUGCUUCCUCAGUAGCCGCGAUCUCCUCUGGAGGCGCAUAGCCCGUGGCUGCCUCAACUCCGGCUUCACCCAGCUCGGCACCGACCUAGCGCCUGGCAUUCCAGUGAAGGAAAGGGUGAAAGUAUCUCAGAACUGGAGUCACGGACGGUGCCGGAGGGAGACAGUCCUGAAAUGGAAAUGCAAUUUGAUGCCCUGGAUAGAGCUGGAUGGCGAGUACCUCUACUUGUCUCAAGCAGAGAACAUCCAGGCCUACAGGCUCUGUCCCGAUGGUACAGGUUUGCAGCGUCACCCUCAAGCUAUCUUCUCUGGCCACCAGGAGGACGUAUGUCGUUUUGUUCUUGUCAACUCUCACAUCGUCAGUGGAGGGGGAGAUGGAAAUAUUGUCCUUCACAAGAUCCAUGGCUCCUACAGCAUCAAGUUUUCUGCACAUGAACAGGAGGUGAACUGUGUGGACUUCCAAGGUGGCCUCAUUGUCAGCGGCUCCCGGGACAGAACAGCGAAGGUUUGGUCCCUGUCCGCGGGCAGAGUUGGGCAGUGUCUACAUACAGUGCAGACAGAUGAUCGAGUCUGGUCCAUUGCUAUCAGCCCAUUGUUAAGCUCAUUUGUGACGGGGACAGCCUGCUGUGGACACACCUCACCUCUGAGAAUCUGGGACCUUGAGAGAAUGGCAGGUGGAGGAGAUCUGUGUGCUUGGAGGGGCAGGAAAGUGCCAGAGCUCAGAGAUGCCCAUCCAUGCUUCUCUCAUGGUGGAGCUGAGGACCCAUCUGCCCAGCCAAACCCCACAGUUCUUGCUUCCAAUGCUCAGACUGCAAAUGCUUCAACAUCUCGACCUGCACACAGGUGCAGAGUUGCUGCUGGGUUGGUUUGUAAGUAACCUUCCAAGGGUUAAUGUAUUGUGAGAAGGUUGCAAAGGGCUGAAGCCUGGAAUCCCCUCGAUCCUUUGCCUGAAGAAACACAAAGUCCAAUAAGCCAGCACCCCUGGAUUCGUGUUGGGGGGGAUUAAUUCAUGCACUUGAUGUUAAAGCUUGUCCGAGAGGUUUGCACGGGGGGGGGCAUCGCUAGGGCUGGUUGGCCUCUCUAAAUGGUUGCUAGGGCCCUGGCAUCAAGGGCCAAUGUAGCUGCCCACAGCCACGGUCACGGAGGGAAUUACACAGCCACAAAGAAAUUGUUAUUCUACAUAAUCUGCUCUUUGGAGAGUGACUGUGGGGAAACAGGCUGGCCCCAGCAUGCCGCCAGCUCUGUGAUCAUAGAAGCGUGCUGGCUGCAAAGAUCGGCCAGGGCUCGCCUUCUGAUCUGGGGACACCAGGGCUCGAGGCGCUAAUCUGCUUUAUCAGCGAUUUCUCUCUCCUGACACAAAGGUGUUUACUUGUUUUAACAUCUCCCGGGACUCUAUUUCUCCUUUUGUGUGGUCUUUAUCCCCCGACGAGGGCUUUAGCCCAGAUUACAGACAGAAUUAAGGCAUUUGGCGAUGUGCCUCAGAACUGUGUGAUGCUGGAUCAAGGAGCAGAAAGUAACAAAAUAAUGGGGGGAGAUGCUGGGAGUGACCCCACUGCGGGAUCCGUGCUGUUGGCUUUCAGGACCGCUUCAUUGUCCUGAGAACCAAGAGGCUGUUGGAGAGGGGUGGCCGUGCAGCAGGGUUUGAAAAGCAGGUGCUUCAAGGUUUAUUGUGUCCGGCAUUUUGGAUUUGGAGGGUAUGAGGAGGAAGGCAUGGAGGGUUUGCAAUAAGCAGCUGGACAGAUUGUCCCCUGCAAGAGUCUGCUAUGGCUGGGGGUUGCUGGCUGCUGAGCAAGUGGAGUGAUACUGGGGACGGGCUGUGCCAUGUGCCCGAUGGCAAUUUCAUAUGGCCCAGGGAAAGGUUUCAAGCUCCUUCUUGCAGUCUAGCAGGGUUUGCCCUCCCCAGGCAUCAUCCAUCUGAUUUGCUCCUGGUUCAGCACAUGAACAAGCAGCAGAGUUGUGUGGUGAGAAAGCAUCUGGCUUAGAGCUUUAUGGAGCUCUUGCUUUUGCUCUUCACAGCAAGUGGGGCAUUAAGAAGGAGAAGGGGGUCUUAAAAGAAAAGCUAGUCUUUGAAAAGUCAUUUCUGGAGCAGCCCUGCAGUGGUCACUCUUGACCUGUCAUGUUCAACCCCAGAGAACAGUGGUUGCGGUAGCCAGUGUAACUGGAGGGGAUUGAGGAGAGCAGCCAUGGCAGACUGGGCCAGGAGAGUCUGACUUGCCUGUGGAUCAGAGCUGUGUGUCAGAGAUGUUGGGAAAAAGCCCAGUGGGCAGUAUUUUGAAGGACGGAGUCUGAGAUGGAUUGGGACUGACCAGUGGUCAGCUGAUGACCUGUUUAGGGACUGACUUCCACCGUGGAGCUGGAGUCCUUGAUGUCUUCUACGAAACACCCUCCCUUCUCCUUUCUUGUGGGUAUGACACCUACAUCCGCUACUGGGAC